AGGGGUAUAGCUCAAUGGUAGAGUGCAUGCCUAGCAUGCAUGAGGUCCUGGGUUCAAUCCCUGGUACCUCCA
rnacentral:tRNA from 1 species